rnacentral:lncRNA from 1 species
CAUGGGAAAACUGGGCACUCAUAGGAAAAUGCUGUCUGUUUUUAAGUUAUUUUUUAGCCUAAGUCAUAAAUGCUCUCACAUGUUGACUGGGGGCCUUAUCCUGAAAUCCAGACUUGUGUUUCAUUCUUAUGAAUUAUUCCAACAUAAGCCAGUGCUGGAGGCUGACUGUAAACAGGGGUUAGAGAAUUGAGCUGAUUUUGACCUAGCAAUGGAGCAUAACUCUGGAAACAUUUGCGGGAGAUACGGCACUUUCUGUCACGGACAGGCCAGCUGAAACUCUGAGGUUGUGCAUGGCAGUAGGCAUGCAGGGAUGUCUACCAAGACCCUGCCCCUGCUUGAGGAGGGGAUGCUAGAAAUCUGGGUGCAUGAGGCCAAGCAGCCUCCCAACCUGUCAUCCUUCCAGUGCAAGCAAGUGCUUGGUUCCCCCUGCAGCAGCCACGUUCCCUCCAGCUGCAGGUAACCUCUCACAAGCCUGUGCCAUGUGUGACCACCCACCCCCAGAGAAGCUGUCCACUUCCUUCCUUUGCUCGAGAAGAAGCUCUUCCUCCGGGAGAAGUUCCCUCGAGUCAAGCAGCUGCUUCAAACUUCCCUGUAGAGCAAACUGCCUUCUUUUUGCCUAAGGUGCUAUUUUCCCCCACCACCUACCAGGUUACCCCAGACUCCUGGGGUCUUGAAGCUUUCUCCUCCACUGUGUCCUGGAUACUCAUUUGUAAGUUCCCUAUUUCUGUCUACAUUCAAAUCCUUUUCCACCUGUGCAUUCACCCCAUUAACCUCCCUCCCCAUUCCCAGUCUCUGUAUCUGCAGGAAUAAUU